UGCAAUGACAUCUGCCCCUGCCCAAGUCCUCCGCCCUUGGGAGGUCCCACGACGGGCCUUGGCUCCAACCUUCAGCACCCAAGACCCCAGGAUGGCCCAUACUCUCAGGGGCCCCUGCCCUGGCCCACUUUCCUGGUCGUGUUCUCUUAGAAGUGGCUUCUAGCUACAAAAGCCCAGGUCCUGGCACAGGCUAGGUGCCUUCUGAGUGUUGGUUGAUGCAGGAAUAGACAUGAUCAUGUGACUGCUGCCCUCCCUCCAACCCCCAUCCAGCAGGGAGAGGCCUACUCUGGCCUCUGGAAGCCCGAGAAGAGGCUCACCUGCCCAAAGGCCUUCCGUCCAAAGUUCAAGGGAGCCCCACCCCUCCCGGAUGCUCAGCUCACCCCACCCCCCACAGGCAGGGCUACAGUGUGGUGGGCACUGCCACACCCGGACCUGCCACAACCUCUUGGAGUCAGUGACAAGAACCAAACGUACCCCAGCCUCCACUCCUCCCCUUUCCUGCUUUUAUUAUUUUCUUUUCCAUAAAGAUUAGUCUGUGUUGCUCCUCUAUCAAGGCCUGGAGGAUAAACAUGUGGUCCGGAGGCAGAGAAACCCCAGGCCUGAAGGCCCCACUGCCCCCACCCCAGCAGCAUAAACCCAGGGCUUUUAAGCAAG
rnacentral:lncRNA from 1 species